rnacentral:rRNA from 1 species
AUAUCAAUAAGCGGAGGAAAAGAAACUAACAAGGAUUCCCUCAGUAACGGCGAGUGAAGCGGGAAGAGCUCAAAUUUAAAAUCUUGGUACCUUUGGUGCUGAGAAUUGUAAGCUAUAGAGGCGUUUUCGGUUGGCACCUGGAUAUAAGUCUCCUGGAACGGAGCAUCAUAGAGGGUGAGAAUCCCGUCUUUGAUCCAGAUGUAGCCUUCUAUGUGAUACGUCUUCAAAGAGUCGGUUUGUUUGGGAAUGCAGACCAAAAUGGGUGGUAAAUUCCAUCUAAAGCUAAAUAUUGGCGAGAGACCGAUAGCGCACAAGUA